GGCCAACAUGGCGCCACUGUAAGACGCUUCUUCUAUGCGCUGCCGAAGAUUUUUAUCGUUCAAGGCUUGAAUUCGCCUGCGUAAGACCAAGAAACAUGUAAAUAGUUUUUCUAACGUUGUAAAAAAUAGUUUUGAGGCCUGUUGGUGAAACUUUGACCCACUUUUGUUUUGUUUUUUCGUGGACUUUCUCUGUCGGGCUCUGCCUACAACGAGCUAACGCAGUUGUUAACCGUUGACGUUGUUUGCUUGCUAGCUCGGCGUCCCAACCGUUGUCUGUUUAAAAGGCUCCAACUGCUAAAUAACUGGUUCUGCUGACAUGUCGUCUACUCUGGAGGAUGAGGAAACGACAAUGGAAGAGUCAGCAGAGAGUCUUAAACGGUGUCAUUCCUACGCCAAACCACCUGUGGAGGCUGAAACUUCUCCGAGCACACAGAAAACAACUUUGCGCCGUGAGCCGAGGUCGGAGCCCUCCAACGCUGUCCUGCUGGCGGCCAUUAACAAGCUAACUGAGUCGCAGCACGGUUUCAGGGAGAAGCUGGAAUUCAUAGAGAAGUCCAGAGAGAACAAUUUUAAGAGUAUUCAAACGCUCUUUUCUUCAGUGCGAGCUGCGGAGAAGAAGGUAGUGGAUCCCCUGGAGCUCCAGAUUAAAUCUGUGCGUGCUGAAAAUAAGAAAUUGUUGGAAAAAGUGAAUGACAUGGAUGCAGAACGUUACUCCAGACGCUGGAACUUGAAGGUAUCCGGGAUUCCUGAGGCUGAGGGCGAGAAUACGAAAAUGAUGGUGACUGAGAUCUUCUCCCGUGUCUCACCUGGUCUCGCCGACUCUCUUCAGAAGACGGUGGACUUCGCCCACAGACUGGGACCACGGAGGAGGAGGGAGGGACAGCAUCCACCGCGCCGCACCUGUGGAGGACUUGACAUGAGGGAGGGAGGCUGUUUUCUGGGGGAAAGUUCACUGAAGUCUCGGUCCGGAGGGCUGACCGUCACCAUGAGAACACAAUAGUGGAUGGAGACAAAGACUUGAGACACACAGACAGAGACGAUCAACUUCACCAUCAGAACAAAGUCCAACAAGAAGAGCGUCUUCUGAGUGAGUUCAGCUAUAAGAGAGAAAAACUACACUCAGCAGCACUUCUUCACCCUGCAGACACUCACACACUGAAGGUGAGUUUGACUGAAACACAACUCAAAGUGAAAGUAAAGUUCAGUGCUGUUAUUAGAGGAGUGAGCAGAGACGUGACUGACUGGACUUUCUGUCUGCUGUGUUUU
rnacentral:lncRNA from 1 species